AGUUUUUAUCGUGUGAACUGUCCGCUGUGUUUCCUUUCAAAACAAGAAAUUGUGCUUUUAAACAGACAAUGAUACCAAUUUGUUGCACAACACAUUACAACACUUGUCUUCCAGGAUAGUUGUUCAUUUGAAGAAUUAUAACACAUGGUUGCUGUUACUUCAGUUGUAGUGGUAUUUAUGUUCCUACCAGCCGGAGGAUGUUGAUUUAGGAUUUCAUACCACGCUGGGCAUGUGGGCUAAAGGAGCAUCUAUGGAGUGCACACAACUCAGAUGUUCCUCAAAACAAGAUGUAAUCAGUGAAACACGCAUUAAAGGACAUUUUUAAAAUGUGUAACAUGCUGUUGUUAACUACUGCAUUUGACAGUUUAUCAGGUGGGGGGGGGACAAAGCUGUGGAAAUAUUUGUCAAGGUUCGACUAGAUGUUCUUUGGUGCUAUGUAAAUACGUGUGACGAUCAUCAUGUAAGAUGCCCUUUAAUAGUUCUCAUCUUCAUAAAAUCACACUUUUUUUUCACUAAUUCAUUACUGCUAACGACAUGCUGUAUGUAACAAUCAUAUAUUUUCCCUCUGAACCUUUAGAUAGGUUGCACAGACUAUGUUAGAAAAAUAAGACGUAUAGGAUUAGGAAAGCACCGAAUCGAGAUUUUUGGGGUUCGGCCAAAUACCGAAUCCAAUGGUUAAAUCUUAAAUUGAUUACCGAAUCCUACUCCCAUCCUCAGUCCGUUAACACAGUAAGCACAUUAUUGAAGUAAACAACGUCCACAGCAGUUUCUUAGCUGUGACUUUGCCGUACCUGAAGUUGCUGCAUUUUGGCUGCUGUCAGUAGAUUCCUUCUUGCACAACUCGGAUUCUUUCGGAUGUUUCAUAUGCAAAUGUU